CUCAAAAAAAUGAAAUCUCACUAUUGCUCAUCUUAAUGAAUCCUUUUUCGUAGGAUUUACACAAUAAAAUUAGGUUUCUAGGUGAAAAGGAGUCAGUUAUACGAAAUGCAUUCGUGUUUGGAGGAAAUAUGUCACUCUAUGGUCGCCGUAGAAGCAUUAUUUCAAAACGCACAAACGAGGGUCUCUGGCUGUGGCAGGUCUGCCUCUUCUCCCUCACUCGUGGAUUGUAAGACGUGGGAGUGCAGAGUGCAAGACAUCAGCGUCAUUGAGGUCUCUCUUACAGAAGCAUUACAGAUGUGCAGAAUUUCACACGCAUUGUGCAACUGAAGUCCAAGUUUAUGCCAGAACUUGACAUCUGCUCCAGGCUGUCUGCUGAGUGCCAUAGGAAGGGAGGAGAAACAAGACAUAAGAUUAAGGAGAUCAUGGCUGCCAUUGAUCGGAAUCCCAUCAUUGGCUCGUUGAGAGUUUGACACCUGCAAGCACUUGUUGUGUACUUGAAGGCCCUGAGAAACUCAAAGGAAUACCUGAGCUGCCAGGACUGGUGUCAUCACUGAAAGCAGUCAUAAACAACAUGGCAGAUUCAUCUAUUUCCUCCAGCCAAAGCGACUCACCACGCACUAGCAGUGAGACUUGCAGUGAAGACAUGGUACUAUGACUGAAGUACCUUGAACCGAUCCCUCAUUAGCAUUGUGCAGGCCCUCCAUGAUUUUGUGAUCUUGCACGUUCACCAAUUCAUGCAAAUUCAGGGACUUUGCUGCAUUUGCGUGUUGUAAUAUUCAAUAAAUGUGAAUGGUGAUGUGUAGUUAUGUUCCUGUUAUUGUGUUAUUAGCAUUAUAUAUCCUUUGCUUGAAUUAUGUAUUUUUGUAAUUUUAUUGUAAUAAAGUUCCCUUUCUGAAA